rnacentral:rRNA from 1 species
UGGGGAAUAUUGCACAAUGGGCGCAAGCCUGAUGCAGCCAUGCCGCGUGUGUGAAGAAGGCCUUCGGGUUGUAAAGCACUUUCAGCGAGGAGGAAGGGUUCAGUGUUAAUAGCACUGUGCAUUGACGUUACUCGCAGAAGAAGCACCGGCUAACUCCGUGCCAGCAGCCGCGGUAAUACGGAGGGUGCAAGCGUUAAUCGGAAUUACUGGGCGUAAAGCGCACGCAGGCGGUUUGUUAAGUCAGAUGUGAAAUCCCCGCGCUUAACGUGGAACUGCAUUUGAAACUGGCAAGCUAGAGUCUUGUAGAGGGGGUAGAAUUCCAGGUGUAGCGGUGAAAUGCGUAGAGAUCUGGAGGAAUACCGGUGGCGAAGGCGGCCCCCUGGACAAAGACUGACGCUCAGGUGCGAAAAGCGUGGGGAGCAAAACAGGAUUAGAUACCCUGGUAGUCCACGCUGUAAACGAUGUCGACUUGGAGGUUGUGCCCUUGAGGCGUGGCUUCCGGAGCUAACGCGUUAAGUCGACCG